rnacentral:rRNA from 1 species
UACAGAGGGGGCAAGCGUUAUUCGGAAUUAUUGGGCGUAAAGAGCUCGUAGGCGGUCUGUUGCGUCUGCUGUGAAAACUCGGGGCUUAACCCCGAGCCUGCAGUGGAUACGGGCAGACUAGAGGUAGGUAGGGGAGAAUGGAAUUCCCGGUGUAGCGGUGAAAUGCGCAGAUAUCGGGAGGAACACCGGUGGCGAAGGCGGUUCUCUGGGCCUUACCUGACGCUGAGGAGCGAAAGCGUGGGGAGCGAACAGG